GAAAUGUAUUUUUAGGUGACUUAUUCACACAUGGCAAGCACGGCUGAGGUGAUGAGGGAACGGCAGAAGUUGGGGAAAACCAGAGCAGAGGAGGGUCCAUCAGGGGCUGCGCACUGGGCGUUUGGCCCCUCAAAGUCCCACGCGCUGCCCCUUCCUGCCAGCUCUGCUGUCUGGUCAGCCCUGAAACCGACGCAGGGAAAAGUGGGGGCGGGGGUCAACCAGAGGCCAGCCGAGCACAGAGAGCCCCUGAGAACCUACUCUGCCCACAACAUCAGGCCCUCCUGAUGGAGGAAGGAGGAAGGGGUGGGAUGGGGGGGGGCUGCUCCUCAUUCCCCUGGGGAAGUCCAGGGCAGAGAUGCCAGGGAGGGGGUCGAAGGGUGGGGGGCCUGUGGUCCUUGGCAACGAGCAAACUGCAAGAGUCACUGAGGAGCCUGGAGAUGCUCAGAGACAUUGGCCCAGCUGACACCCUGAGCUGUGGGGCGCUGGAUGGAAUGAGUCAUCCAAAGAUACGCCCCCUUCACGUCUCAUCAGAAACCCAACAGUUCUAUGGGUUUGAAACACUCGUACUGGAAUUCUCAUUGUGGCUCAGAGGAAACAAACCCGACCAGUAUCCAUGAGGACUCAGAUUCAAUCAGUGGGUUAAGGAUCCGGCAUCCCUGUGAGCUGUGGUAUAGGUCACAGACGUGGCUCAGAUCCUGCGCUGCUGUGGCUCUGGUGCAGACUGGCAGCUGUAGCUCAGAAAGGACCCCCUAGCCUGGGAACUUGCAUGGGCUGCGGGUGUGGCCCUGAAAAAGUAAAUAAAUAAAUGAAACACUAAUAAUGCUAAGCACUUAGUAUGCACCGAUGACCUUUUUCUGUUUUCAUGUAGAACUUCCUGGGCCAGGGAUCAAACCCACACCAAAGUAGUGACAACACCGGAUCCUUAAGUGCUAGGCCACCAGGGAACUCCUGUAUCAUCACUUUGUAGAGACCAUUUCCUGUAAGUCUCACCACCGCCCUGCAGGGUAGGCACUGUCCCUGUGGCGAUAAUAUUCCAGAGGGAAAGAUGGGGGCUGAGACAUUCUGGGGUUCCACCUGUGGCUGCUGGACCCACAGCUGCGCUCUGUCCCAUCUCCCAGGAAAGCAGAAAGUGCACAGUAAGGGCCAGGCCCUCCUCACAAGGCUCGCUGUCACCUGCCCCAUAAGGCCACGCCUCCGUGAUGCAGACCCCUCGGAACAGCCCACUGUGCCAGCAGACCCAAGGAUGCCAGGAAUUGCCAAGGGGAGAAAGUUCUCCAAACUCAAGACAUGAAAGAGCAGCCGGCCCCUCGCUGUGUGCCUCAUCUGUCACCUCCUCGUGAUGGCUGGGCGGAAGAAAAGGGCAGAGGAAAACUCAAAAGGAACGGGUCCGGUUCUUCCCACGCUGCUUUCAGAACCUGGCUGCACACACGCAUGUGCACACACACUCAUAUGCAAUCAGCUGGGGUGUGAACACACACCUGCAGGCAGGUACACAUCCCUACAGGGCAGGAGGGCGGCAUCAUGUGUCCGUCCAGGCUUUCCGAGUUCUGGAGCCCAGCAGAGGCAGAAACACACCCCAGAGAGCUCUUCCAGGAGCAUCAGGGCAGAAAAAGUGACAGAGACCAUGGGAAGGUACUGACCUGGGUCUCCAGGGUGAUCACAGGGCUUGGCUGUGGGUCCUGCGGGAAGAAAGGAGAAAACGCAUGUGAGUGGCGGGGAAAAUGCAACUGACUGCCCCACCAUCAGUUCUCAAACAAAGCCACUUCUCUUGAGUGACCCCAGCAAGCCCACGGGGAGGGUGGCCCCACACUGUCGCUCCUACCCCAGGAGACAGAAGGACAGCCUGGCCCAAUCUCCCCACACCCACACCCCCUCUCACACCCAGAGGAUGAAGGAGGCUCAAAUCGUUCACUAAGGGGUUAAGGGGACACCUGCACAGAGACCACGCAAAACGAUGAAGCCUAAAGAAGUAAGAAGCAAAGGCCCCUCGCCGAGGGUCUCAGAGUGUGUUCAGAUCAUCGAUGGGGAGGAGAAGAUGGGUCCUUGAGAGGAUUAGAAAUAAACCUGAAAGAAUGUAAAGUCCCCACGAAGAGCAAGGCCACCACUUUGUGUCUGAUCUUGGAAAGAAUGAGGGAAGGAAUGAGACAGAGAAAAAGAAGCGCUUGAUUCCUGGUCUGUGCAGCACAUUCCAUGGGCCCGGGAAGGUUCCUUUCAGGAGGGAGAAGGCAGGCCAGAGAAAGUCCCAUUCAUUCACUGGCUACAAAAGCCAAUUGACUGGAAAUGCUUAGUGGUCAGGUCUCUCGGGUCGUUAAACAUGAACUCUUGGGUGGGGGCAGGGUGGGUACAGCGGAGGAGGGGACGGAUCGGGAGGAGACAGUGGUUACCAGCAAGUGGGUUCCAAAGAAAACAGGAAACUUGGCACAUAAAGGCUAUUUUUGUCUGCACCAUGUCGGCUCUAAACGGAAUCAUCUUAGAUUCAUGAUCCUGGGAAAGUAACCUCACGCUGCCUCUUACAGAGAAUGGGCAUGAUUUUAGGGCCCCGACAUGCAAACUGAGUUGGAAGUUUUGCUUUAUCCAAGCAGAUCUUCUAACACAGGCUUCAAGGAAGCCACGCCAAUUAGCCCCGGCCCACCGGCCUAUGCUGUGGACAAUAAGGAAAUGUGCAAAUCGUGCCGUAAUUGUCUUUCUGCAACUGGGCUGGUUUUACUCAGCAUGACAUCUGUAAGGUUCAGCCCUGUUGUCACAAAUGACAGGAUUUCUUUCUUGGUCUAAGGCUGAAUAAUAGUCCACUGAGCAUGUACAUAUAACACAGGUUCUUUAUCCAUCCCCCUGUCAAUGCACACAUAGGUUGUUCCCAUUUUGUGGCUGUUACCAAUACGGCUACGAGGGACAUGAGAGCACAGAUUUCAUGAUUCUGAAACCGAACAACGCAGUUGGGACUUGAACCCACGGGCUAGGACUUAAACCACGUCAAAACCCAGAUUGGGACUUGAAUCCACGGUCUCUGAAUUAAAAUACACACCCGGACUCAGAACUUACUGAAAUCUCAGUGCAGGAAUUCAGCGAGAGGCAAAUAGGUAAGAAGGAGAUGUACUGCUAGAGAGACACACGCCAUAGACAGAGUGUGGGCCAUCUCAGCAGGGGAGACAGUAGCCCUGAAAUACGGGGUGCCGAGUUUUAAUGGGCUGGGUAAUCUCACAGGCCAAUGAGUGGGAGGGUUAUUCCAACUAUUUCAGGGAAGGGGCAGGGAUUUCUAGGAAUUGGCCCACCGCCCACUUUUUGCCCUCUUAUGUUGAAUCAUCUGCCACUUUGGACCCACCCAGUUAUUGCUGUAACUCCGAUGGCUGUGGCAUUCUUUUAAAGGCUGUGCCCUGCUCCCCUCCCUCCUGUUUCAAUUCCACUUACACCAGGUACCUAAUAGAAACUCUCACAGAAACAGAGUAGAGGGGUGGUUGGCAGAGGCUGAAGGGAGAGGGAAACGGGCAGCGGAUGUUCAAAGGGCACAAAGUUCUGGUCACACGAGAUGAGUAAGUUCCAGAGUUCUGCUGUACAACGGUGCCUGGAGGUAACAAUGUGUAUUGUACACUGAACAUUUUGUUAAGAGGCUAGAUGGCAUAUUAGGUGUUCUUUCCAUAACUAAAAAAAAAAAAAAACCUCUACCCUAGGGGUCUGUCUCUGGGUCCUCAUCUCUUGUUUUUAGAGAAUAAGCCUCAGCCUCCACGACCUUCCCUGAGUUCCAAAGGGCAGCUGCUCAUCAGGGAAGGGAGGGGACGCAGACACCAGGGAGGAGCAUCCAGAGACAACAGAGCAGCCUUGCGCCAGGGUCCUGGUUCCUCCUCCAGGAAUACGCAGAACAAGAUCUUGAGCCCUUUCUGCAGAGCUAAUUCCCUCAACAAAUGGAAGCACUCCUUGAUGAAGCAUCUUCAUUCUGGGAGGAGGGAGGACCACCCGAACCAGUCCUGGGGCCCCGAAACACCAGCUCUGAAAGACAAUGCCAGCUUGCCUCCACUCUGACCUUUAUCCGGGGCCCUGUGUUCCACUCCCCACACUAUAAAACCACCUCCUAGUCUCUCCAAGGGGGGCACAGUCUUUAGGGCAUUAGCCUGCUGUGGCCCCCUUUGCCUGGCAAAGCAAUAAAGUUAUCUUUUUCUCCUUCAUCAAAAACUCUGUCUCUGCAUUUGUAUUCAGCACGGGCAGACAGAGGCUGAGUCUGAGUUUCAGCAACACCUCUCUCUCCACACUGCAGCCUGGACCCAUAAAGGAACUUGGAGAUGUCAAGAAAGAAACACUUUAGGCCUCUGGCUUCAAGCACUUACUAGCUCCUUGUCAAGGGGAAAAGCGGUGGCAGGUUGGACAAGGGGGACUUUGAAGGAAUCACUUAUUUCACGUGAGUGGUUAUUUUAGCAUCCCUUAUGGAGCCCAGCCAGCUCCUCUAUCACUGGUACAUGGGGAGCAUGGACCCCUGGGUUCCCAGUCUCCCUGUCUCAGGCCGGCACCGGGCAAGGUCCAUUCUUGUCUCUAGGAGGCAAGGCCCUCCUCCUGGUGUGUGCCAGGCAGCGUGAAUCAGAUCCUAGGACAGCU
rnacentral:lncRNA from 1 species